UCUUUCUUUCAUGGAACGCAAAUAUUUCUUUUCUUUUCUUUUUUCUCAUGGAACGCAAAUACUUCUUUUCUUUUCUUUUUUCUUCUUUUUUUGGGGGUACCGUACCGGGGAUCGAACUCAGGAUCUUGUGCUUGCAACGCAGGCGCGGAGCCACUGAGCCCAGCCAGCCUCCAACGCGAAUAUUUCUGAUGAACGCACCUAGAAAAAAGUUGCUUGUCACAUAGAUCAUAGGUGGAUAAACAGGGACAUAUUUCCUUUCCUGAGGAGAAACCCGUUCCUCUAGCAAGAGCGACGCCUGCUGUCCAGUUUCCCCGAGGCUGCACAGCCAGUUUAACCCUCAUACCCCACUGCGAGGCUACCUUUUUACUAUUUUAAAAACUUUUUCUAUGUUAGUCACAUUUUAGGCUUAUGUAGACUUUUUUUUUUACAAUAGCAUUUAUUAUACAGAAUCAAAAGCUACACUGCUGAAAAAACCACCAGUAGAAUCUCACACACAUUUCUGCCAGCUGAGGAAGUUUGACGGAUGUUCUCUUUUCUCUUGCAGCCUUUGGUGGGUGGGUUUCUUGCCUGACCCUUUCUACCACCAACUGCACGUGCGACCCUCACUCACUAGAUGCUCACAGGCAGGGACAGCAGACACAAUCGGAUGUCCUUGGUGCUCGACUUUAGGAAAUAAGGCAGCUAAGGACAAGACCAUUCGAGUGUGAAAAGUUCUGCCCUGAAAUAACUCUGGAUGCCCUCAUUUUAUAUAAACAACUUUUACAGAUGUUUAAAAACUUAAUUGAAAAAUUGUGUUGAUUUAUUGGUCUUUACUGAACUUUGCAGUUUGCAGUAUAGUGAGGCUGAGCUGCGUGGGUCCUCUGCUCACCAGACUUGUACGCUGUGCUUGUGACCAGCACACCUGACCAGUGGGCUUGCUGGCCGUGGGGCUGAGCAAAGGAAAGCAGAAAAAGUCACAGGGAUUCGAAAGUCCUACUGACAAAUCAGCAGCCUCUCCACGUCUUCUUGGGCAGUGUUCUACUAGAAAACCAUAUAAUUCUAUGGUUGUUACUGAAAAAGCCUGAAAACAACAAAAUGCAAUGUUCCCUGCAAAAAAAAAAGCUGAAGAUAAUUCACUUGACGCCUCCCCAUGAGCUUUGUCAUUUAAUUUCAGGAAAAAGAGCUGCUAUAAUCAUAUUAAAUAAUGUAAUUUCCUCCUAGUAAGUGAACAACUGUCUACUGUCAAGGGUCCAAAAGGCCAAAAAGGUAAGAGAGAAAAUGAGCAUCAAACUGUAUUCUAGAAUUCCUAGUCAAAAAUUAUUUCCUUUGCUAGAUUUUAGCUGUUUUCCUUUUUGAGAAAAUUAUGUUGGACCAUAGAAAGAAAAAACAUCAGGCAGGAAGAAGUGUAUUUAAUUUACUGAAUACCCAUGUAAUGAGAUGGGAAGGUUAUUUUUUCCAGUUAUUAACAGUAUAAACACAGUUCCUGCAUUUCAACUGCAACCCUUAUUGUCUUGUCCCUAAAAGGUAUAUGUUUAUUUUUAGAUGAAUAUUAACUGCCUUCUACAACAUACAGAAAAAAACUUCUACAACAUAUAGAAGAGUACACCAAAAAAAUAUAUACAUGUUUCAGGAAAAGAAAAAUCAUAUGCUGCUUCUUCAACAGAUAGUGUUACCCUCUUAUGGGGGAUACUAGAGGAUGUCAUAUAUCACAGAAAACCCACUGCACUGCAGCCCUUAGAGAAGAAACUGAAAAUGCACGUACAGCUAUCUCAAUGACCGAGGUCACCCAAGCAGCAAUUUGCCAUACUAAUAAAAGUCUUGAAGCUCAUGGCUACCACUUUGAGCACCUCUUGUAAUUGUAGAGGCCAAAGGUAACUUGUAUUAAUCUCAUGAUAUUUCAAUAAAUUUACUAUUAAAAUAUUUAUACAAGUUUUUCUUUUCCUGAAGUGUGUAUAUAUAUUUUUUGGCACUCUGUAUAUAAAUCAACAUAUUUUAAAAUGAAUUAUUGCAUUUGUUCAACCAUUAUGUUAAUCAUUUAACAAUCUAACAGCUCUUAUUGGAAAGAAAAACAAUCACCUUUCAUACAAGAUAACAUGUGCUACAAUGAAAUAUUGCUUAAUGUGUAACUUUUACCAGUUCUGUUGUUUUUACUCCCAAUAUGCUGUUAGUGUGCUAGAAAUGUACUAGAAACUCUACAAAGCUUUUAGGAAGACAAGACUUCUCACAGGACCAACUUCUUAGUACAUACCAGGUGUGAUCAAAAGAUACUGUGAAUGUUUAAGUAAAAUAAAAUUUACAGUAAAAGACACAUUGCUACGAAUCCCUCUCAAAAUUGUCCCCCUUACUUCGAACACACUCAUCCCAUUAUCCUUGCCACUUUCUGCAGGAGCUCUGAAGUCCUCUUUCCUGAGUGUCUUUAGUUGAGCUGUCCUGGCUGCCUUGAUGUCCUGAAUGGAUUCAAAACAUUUCCCUAUCAUGAUCAUUUUGGAUUAGGGGAACAGCCAGAAGGCACAUGGUGCCAGAUCUGAUGACUGAGGAGGAUGAGGACUCCCCACCUUGACGUCCAAGCUGUAAACAUGACUGUCGUGGCCUCUGAAUGAUUUGCUGCCCAGACUGCUCAGACACGAGGAAACAAAUCACUAGGCACUGCAGCCAGGAAGUUCCCCAGGGCUUCUCUCCUCAAAAGAUUUGCCCUGGAAAGCCUUGGAAUCAAAUUUGCAUGUCUACAUCUCCAAGCCUCUGAUGGCUGUGGCUUGUUGAUUCCUGAGACACACGUGGGUCAUGGUUCCCAUUGUCUCAGUAGAAAGCCCCUGUCUUCUUUUUCUUGGUGCCAACAACAAGACCUUCCUUGGCUGCACCUUUCAAUGUUCUCCUGUUCUCAGCUGGCUGGAAUUUUUCAUCUUUCUCCUCUGCCCCUCUUUGCUCCUGAUUGUCACUGUCAGUUUUGUUAAACCAUCCAGUCAUAUGUACGCCACUGCCUGAAUUCUGUGCUGCCUUAUAAUUUCCAGUCAAAAAAAUCUGACAGAUAUUUUAGUCUAUCACCUUUAAGAUUGAUUACCUGCAACGUCUCAGGGCACAGAUGCAAUGCACCCAAGUUCUUGGCCACGGUAUCCUAAGGGUGGUCUCUAGCCCUAUUUCCAGCCCAGCCUUGAUUUCCAUCUGAAGUCUCAUCAGCAUAAUCUUUCCUGUCCACUUUCCCACCAACAUUCUGGACUUCUGAGCCCCCAGGAAUGGCCUGUUAAGCUCCAUCUACAACAUCCUCGGCUUUUUCUAGCCUGUUUCUCCAUACUUUCCUAGAUUCUUCCUGUAAGUCAGUUUCCAAAGACACCCCAUGCCCCCAUCAUCAGGUAUAGUCACAGCAACAACUCUACUUUUUGGUACCAAUUUUCUAGGAUUCCUCAAGGUGGUAAUUGACAAUGAAAAUUAACCCUCACAGACACUAGCACUGCGAAAGCCAGUGUUGUAGAAAUAUAAAGAACGUGUAAAAUGAACCAUCUCUUCUGAAGCCAGAGGAUCAUAAAGUGAAGAUACAUUGCAUCGUUAACCACACAUGACGAUGUCCUACCUCAGCAACCUUGGAAGACAUGAGGGGACACUGACUGUGGAAAACCCUGAACAAUGGGUAGGCAUUGCUUGCACUGGCAUAGGAGCAUCAGAGGCAAACUUCCAAGGGAGGCCCAAGAGGGGACAAUCGGAGAUGGAACUUCCUGAAAGCUAUGUUCUCCCCAGAAUGCAGUCCAGAAUAGUGGAAACCAUCUCCCUCGGGGAGCUGAUUUCUUAACAUCCAGCAGGCAGUGACAAGAGGAAAUAACACCUCAGAGGAUGUGUGACCAUUAAGAAAGCCAUGAAAGAAAGCACAUUCCAAAUCCUGUGGAACAUCUGGGAAUGAAAAUCUUUGACUUGUUCAAAGCUGCAUAGAAAUCUAUACUUAGAAAGUAGACAGAAAUAUCCUGAAUUUGUAACUUUUUAUUAGACUGGCCAGCAAUCAGCACUGUGAUUGAGGGCUCAGACAUGGGAGUUAGGGCUCUACCAGGACUAGGAAUCCAGACCAGAGCUGAAGGUGCAAGCAAGUAACUGAGAAAAAAGACCAGUGACUGAGGAUCCAGACAAGUAACUGAGGAUCCAGACCAGUCAGUGACUGAAGAUCCAGACCAGCGACUGAGGAACAGACUAGUGACUGAGGAUCCAUACCAGUGACUAGGGAUCCAGACCAGAGACUGAGGGCCGGGGAUUUAGCUCAGUGGUUCCACUGCCUGCCUCGAAAGCUCAAGGACCUGAGUUCGAGCCUCGGUACCAAAAACAAAAAACAAACAGACCAGAGACUGAGGAACAGACCAGUGAUUGAGGAUCCAGAUCAGUGACUGAGAUCCAGACCAGUGACUAAGGAUUCAGACCAGAGAUCAGAGAUCCAGACCAGUGACUGAAGAUCCAAACAAGAGCAUGUGGAAACAUUCCCCAGUACAAAAGUUUAUAGUACAUUUGGAAAAUUUCAAUUUCCAGAGUCCCUUCUAGAGCAGAGUGUAAAGAGAAAAUAAAAGAGAAAACACCAUUCUAAAUCCUAUUCUAUGUUCUUGAACUUCCUCCUGAAGUCUAUGAUAAACGAUUGGUGAUUUAAGAAGGCUAUUUACAUUAUCAUAUUCAUGUUUCCUGGGGGUGGUUACAGGGAAAAGACAAAGGGAUUUGAGGCUACUGGUAGGUCAUAAGAAAACUUUCCAACAGUUCACCCAUCCUCUCAUCGACCCAUCUGUCCAUCCAUCCAUCCAUCCGUCUUUUCAUCCUCCACCUUUUAUUCAACUAUUCGUCUAUCCGUCCAUCCCUCCUUCCAUCACCCAUCCACCCAAUCACUCCUUCCUUCUGUGACUCAACAGAGAGACAAGUGCUAUUUCAGUCCUCCAGAUAUAACAGUCUGCACUUACAGAAUUCUUUUCUUUUCUUUUUUUUUGUACCGGGGAUCAAACUCAGGACUUUGCACUUGCCAGGCAGGCAGCAGUACCAAUGAGCUAAAUCCCUGGCCCCACGCUUACAGAAUUCUUGCUUCAGAGAGCAGACGCCGGCAACAAGCUAGCUAAAUAAAAUGAAAGAAAGUUAUAAGUAGUUCCAAGAUGGAAGGUGAAAUAAUGCAGAAGGAAAAAUAUGCUAAGACACAAAUGACCUAAAGCAGAACCUAUAGUGUGUUUGUGUGUGUACAUUUGUGGUUGGAACCCAGGGGUGCUCUACCACUGAGCUAUAUCCCCAACCCUUUUUAUUAUGAGAUAGACCAUCUCUAAAUUGACCAAACUGCCCUUGAAAUUGUCAUCCUCUUGCCUCAGCCUCCUGGGUAGCUGGGAUUGCAGGUGUGCCACACUGUGCUCAGUGGGAAUCUACAUUUGAUAAGGAGCCUGAAAUGACUGUCUUUAAGAUAUGACAUCUAAGUUAAAACUCGAGAAUGGCAAAAAUCGCUUUUCAGUAAUACAAGUGAAAAAAGGAGAUAACCCAGAAGUAGGACGUGGACAUAGGUUAGAGAAAGACUUGGCUUCUCAAGAAAAUCAACCCUUUAAAAAAUUGUUUUAUCCUCAGAAUGACAUUCUCAGCAAUGUACGUUUCUCUACCUGCAUUUAAAAGUACAGAGUGGGAAAAUACAUGCUUGAACUGGGAGCUGUUUACAACCCCCAUCCAGUAAUUCAUUCACUCAGUCAGCAAAUAUUGACUGUGGCCCAUCACAGGCUAAGCACAGUUCUGGGGAGGUUGGGAUCUCAGGAAGUGCAAAGGUCACUCCUAUUGCUGGGGUUAUUUAAGAUGAAACCAGCUUAAUAGAAAAAGAAAUAGAGAAUUAAUAAAAUAAUUAAAAUGAAAACCAUAAUAAUGUAGAACACCUUCACUCCGCCUCGUCUGUGUACUGAAGACAGCAGUAUUUCAGUCAGGGCAUUUUUGCUACUUUCUGAGUGGAAGGAAGCACAUCUCAGAGGCAACCUGUGCUGAGGAGGCCUGGUGUGUCCGCACUGUGCAGAGGUGGAUGGGUACCCAGCCUGGUGCAGCAUUGGGAAACUUACAGAGUUUUGGGCCAUGAGAAGGACCCUCAUGUCCACUCAGCCUGUCUCCUUGCUGUAGGGAGCCACAUGGGGGCCUGUUGGCCUGAGAAUGCCACCGGUUCUCUUUGGUGUUAACCGUGAUGUGACUCUUGACAUCUGAUUUUGCUCUACCAUUUGUCAGGUGUUGUUAAUAAAUGUUUGAGUAUUGCCUCAUAGAUUCUUUAGACAUUUUUAUGUCUGUAGUCCAGCUACCUCUCUACCACAAGCUAAAUUUAUUUUUUUUUAAAUAAAAUGCCUUCCUGUACCAUGCCUCCCUUGCAAGCUCAAGGUCCGAAGUUCAAUCCCAGGUACCAAAACAAUAAAACAAAAUAAAAGUGCUUUCUCUAGUAUGUCCCUUGCAUAAUUCCAAAGUGCCUAAAGUGAAGUGAAUCAGCCUCCCAGUGAGAGGAAACCCAAGGUGGAGUAGACAGCCAGGCAGCCAAGGGGGUGGCCUGAGACCUUCCUUCAAGAUCUUGGCUUUUAUUUUCCCAUAUGUAGAAUGGGUUUACUAAUCACUUCUUUUUCAUGUACAGAGUCUUUAAAAAAGGAUUUAAUAAAAUAGUAUCCCCUUCCCUUAACCCAUAUAAACCUUGUUCACCACCAGCUCCGGGCUGAUCGCUUUGUGGAGAAACCUCAAUCAGUCCUCCAGUGUAAUAAAGCUGUACACUUGGCUCCAACCUCCAGCAGGGAUCGAACUUGGGAGCUUGCACUUUCGAGGCAGAUGGCAGAACCACUGAGUUAAAUCCCCAGCCCCUAGACCUAAAUUUCUUUAUGGCAUAAUGUAGAAAUUAUUUUUUGGAUGUCUUAGAAUAAUCUGGUUAUUUCUGUCUAUUUUACAAUAUUUGUCAUAAUAUUUUACAACAGUUAUUUUAAUAUUAGUUUUUAAGAUUUUAUGACAACCCAGGAACAGUGAUAUUGCAUUUACUGCCGGAGAAUUCUGCUUUUCCAAGCCUUGUUAAUGCUGAGCAGCCUCUGGCCGACCUUGGGCUGAAGCUUUGAGAAGACAGGUAAAAGUGCACUGAAGCCCUUUAUGUUACCCAAGAAAGGUGCAUGUUCAUCACCAUUCCCAUCGUGGUUACUUUCCAGGAAAACUUUUUGGCGGGUCAAGGAGAGAUCACUCCGCAUUUUAUAGGUAUUUCUUAUCCUUGUAUAUGCAUUGUUUUUCUCCCUCAAAAUGUUGACAUACCUGUCAGAUCGGAGAAAUCAGAUUUGAAUGAACUAGAGCCAACUUACGCACCCUGACUUCUUCAGCCCUGAGUGCCCAAGAGCCGCUCCCAUGGUGGUGUCCCAGGUACUGGUGCUGUGCUGGGCCUGCUGGGUCCCCAGCUCCUUUGGGUAGCUUGCUAGGAAACCAGUUGCAGCCCGCCCAUCCCACACGAUGAGGGACCCUGGACUAGUUUCCAGUGAGAUCCCAGGUGAUUCGGGCCCAUAUUCAAGGUCGUCAUGUUGAGCACACAGGAAACCACAAGCCAAGCAGCAGUGGGGAACACUCUCAGGAGCUCCGAGUCUGGAUUUGAUUCUGCUGCUUGAUCUUAAGCAGUGUUUCUGAGAUCUGAGAACACAUCAAUGAUUUUCAACUUUCUUAAGCAGGGAAAUCUCUACGUAUUUUUUCCAAGUGUAAUAAUUGGCAGAGCCCAAUUAAAAGAGUUGUUUCAGGCCAAGUGAGGUCAGGCCUCUUCCUGAUGGCUCUGGUUUCUGGUCUGGGGCUGGGUUCCUGUGACACAGGGUUAGCUCCAGACCAGGGCUCCUCUUUGGAUCAUGGGCAGAACCUUUGGGAGACAGCUAGAUUAUGGGGUGUAUAACUGACUUGCUGUUAGGAGGCAGGGCCUGGUCAGAAGAGGCGGGUCGCUGGGUGUGUGGCCUGGAAGGGUCAUCUUCCUCCCUUGACCUCUCUGCUUCCAGCUGCCAUGCCAUAAGCUGUUUCUCCUCUGCCAGGCCCCUCUGCCAGGCUGCCCAGCCUUAGAGCCAGCCAACUAUGGACUGAAACCUCUACCAAGUGAACCAGAAUAAUCUCGUCCUUUAAGUUCUGGGUGUUGGGUAUUGUGUCUCAGCAAGGAGAAAGUGACUAAGACACAGGCCUUGGCCAGAGCAGUUGAUUGAGUGGGUUCAUGCUAGGUUAAAGUAAUGAAUAUGGGGGUUGAGAUUGGUAGUAUGUACCAGAAAACUCAACGACCAACUUGGCUCCUUACUCCCAGCUCCAGGGAGCCCAGCUGGGGCAGCAAGUGAAGCAUCAGAGGAAAAGAGGGAAGACAGCUCCCUCCUGGGAUGCUGUGAGCUGAAUGUCAUCUGCUGUGAACAUGUCCUUUCCACUGUCCUCUUGCUCAUACUUUUGGGGCUUGAAGUAGGAGAGGCCUCUAGGCUUUGCCAUAGCCCUGUGUCUUCCCUACAGUCCCUCCACAGCUUUGGAACGAUGCUAUCAUGAAACCUUCCUCUGACCAUUCUAAUGACAAGGCGAGAGUAGGCUAAUAGCCGUCUCUGGCACAGGGACCCUGACCUCCAACCCCAUCUGCUCACAUGCCUCAUUACCCCAAACAACCCUCACUACAUGCUGCCCCAUGCUCAAAGUCCAGGCUUCUGGACCAAGAGCUGUGCUUCCAGCAAGGACCAGGUGUGGUUCUUCCAGGCCACUUAGCUCAAAGCUAGGACUGCAGCCCACAGCACGGGGACAGGCCACACAGCCCUGAAGAACUGGCACUGUGCUAUAGUCACUGGCCACAGCACAUGCAGACACUGGUGAGGCAUGAGCCCUGAGGCAGAGGCCACAGCCUGUGAUUGGGUGUCCCUCAGGACCACAGGGAAAACCAGGCAGCCUCUCACCUCCUGACCCCAUGUGUGAGAACAGUGACACACACGUGUGUACUAUGUGUAGUUAAAGCCACUCUGAUUUUUCUGUUACAUGUUUAAAAGUCACCGCUAAAUCACUGUAGAUCAACUAUGGCCUGGGCAGGAUGAACUUACUUGCAGUUUGAACGGAAUAUGUGUUAUCAACCUCGAAAAUAAAAACAUAAUAUCUCAGAUGCAGAAGGGGAGAAGCAAAGAGAGCUGCUUAUAGACUGGAAGGACAAGUGGCAUUGUCUAAAAUAAAUGUGAGUAAGGUGCAUGCAUUUAAACUUUGCAAUGGAACAAUGGAGAAACAAAAAUUAGAGAAAUAGUUGCAUGUAGCAUUAGUGGGGUGGAGUAGCUAAAUCUUUAUCAUGCUCAGAAAUCAGCAGACAUCAUUAAAACAGUAUAACUUAUUUAAAGUAAUCUAAAUCAGUGGUAGACAACCCUGGGUUUGAUCUCCAGCACUGUAAAAAAAUUGAUCAAAUAAAUUCAUCAGCCCGGGUGUGUCUGAUUUAACUCGUCACCCUUUGAUACUCUUAAACUGCUGCUGUUCCCAUAGUAACCUUUGCUAAUUUAUGCCUCUGUUAAAUGAAACUUUAAUUCACAUUAAAUUCUGCUCUUUUUUGACCAUGAGUUGUUGUUUUAGGCAUUUUUGUGUCCAAUUCUUUUUCUGUUUACUGUUGUGAUUUUUCCCCUCCUGAAUAUUUUUUCUAAUAGUAUAAAUAGCUAUAUAUUGUGCCAUGUGGAUGGCUAAGCUUCACUAAGAUAUGCUUAGAGAACAUGGUAUGACAGACUUUCUCUUUAUAUUUUGUAGAAUAAUACCAGUAAUAUUGAAUGUGGACUUUAAAAAGAAGGAAAAACAACUUUCCCCAACCUAAGCAAUUUCCCCUUAGACUUUCCCCUCCCUACAGCUGUUGUUCUUUGUUCUAUUACAAAUAAAAUCAGUAACUUUAUCCCUGUAAGUAAGGUCUCACAACCUCUUCUUUUCAUAAUAUCCCAUUUUUACCUAACCAAGGCCACCAAGAUAAGUUACAAACUGUCACAGUUUAACUGCCUUGAUUCCGCCUCUGUCCCCAAGAUUUAUACUGUUAGGUAGAGCAAUCCCCCUUUGCAACAUGUAUAAAACUAGAGCCCUUCCUUUGCUCUGGGCUCAGUCGUUGGACAUGAGU